UUCUUGGUCAUUUAGAGGAAGUAAAAGUCGUAACAAGGUUUCCGUAGGUGAACCUGCGGAAGGAUCAUUAAAGAAAUUUAAUAAUUUUGAAAAUGGAUUUUUUUGUUCUGGCAAGAGCAUGAGAGCUUUUACUGGGCAAGAAGACAAGAGAUGGAGAGUCCAGCCGGGCCUGCGCUUAAGUGCGCGGUCUUGCUAGGCUUGUAAGUUUCUUUCUUGCUAUUCCAAACGGUGAGAGAUUUCUGUGCUUUUGUUAUAGGACAAUUAAAACCGUUUCAAUACAACACACUGUGGAGUUUUCAUAUCUUUGCGACUUUUUCUUUGGGCAUUCGAGCAAUCGGGGCCCAGAGGUAACAAACACAAACAAUUUUAUCUAUUCAUUAAAUUUUUGUCAAAAACAAGAAUUUUCGUAACUGGAAAUUUUAAAAUAUUAAAAACUUUCAACAACGGAUCUCUUGGUUCUCGCAUCGAUGAAGAACGCAGCGAAAUGCGAUACGUAAUGUGAAUUGCAGAAUUCCGUGAAUCAUCGAAUCUUUGAACGCACAUUGCGCCCCUUGGUAUUCCAGGGGGUAUGCCUGUUUGAGCGUCAUUUCCUUCUCAAACAUUCUGUUUGGUAGUGAGUGAUACUCUUUGGAGUUAACUUGAAAUUGCUGGCCUUUUCAUUGGAUGUUUUUUUUCCAAAGAGAGGUUUCUCUGCGUGCUUGAGGUAUAAUGCAAGUACGGUCGUUUUAGGUUUUACCAACUGCGGCUAAUCUUUUUUUAUACUGAGCGUAUUGGAACGUUAUCGAUAAGAAGAGAGCGUCUAGGCGAACAAUGUUCUUAAAGUUUGACCUCAAAUCAGGUAGGAGUACCCGCUGAACUUAAGCAUAUCAAUAAGCGGAGGAA
rnacentral:rRNA from 1 species